rnacentral:rRNA from 1 species
UACGGAGGGUGCAAGCGUUAAUCGGAAUUACUGGGCGUAAAGCGCACGUAGGUGGUUUUCUAAGUCAGCUGUGAAAUCCCCGGGCUCAACCUGGGACUUGCAGUUGAAACUGGGAAGCUAGAGUAGGGUAGAGGGGUGUGGAAUUCCAGGUGUAGCGGUGAAAUGCGUAGAUAUCUGGAGGAAUACCGGUGGCGAAGGCGGCAUCCUGGACCAUUACUGACGCUGAGGCGCGAAAGCUAGGGGAGCAAACGGG